CCUACGGGCGGCUGCAGUGAGGAAUAUUGGUCAAUGGGCGCGAGCCUGAACCAGCCAAGUCGCGGGAGGGAAGACGGCCCUACGGGUUGUACACCUCUUUUGCCGGGGAGUAACGGGCGCCACGUGUGGCGCCACUGAGAGUACCCGGAGAAAAAGCAUCGGCUAACUCCGUGCCAGCAGCCGCGGUACUACGGAGGAUGCGAGCGUUAUCCGGAUUUAUUGGGUUUUAAGGGUGAGUAGGCGGAGCGUUAAGUCAGUGGUAACAUUGAGGGGCUCAACCACUUCCCGCCAUUGAUACUGGCGCUCUUGAGUGGAAGAGAAGUAUGCGGAAGGCGUGGUGUAGCGGUGAAAUGCAUAGAUAUCACGCAGAACCCCGAUUGCGAAGGCAGCAUGCCGGCUUCCGACUGACGCUGAAGCACGAAAGCGUGGGGAUCGAACAGGAUUAGAUACCCGAGUAGUC
rnacentral:rRNA from 1 species